GUAGUACUGGGACUAUCAAAGUAGACAUUAGGCAGCAGGAUCCAUUAAUAGAGUCACCGCAGUGAGUGAACUUAAGAAGGCUUUGUCCCCACUACUCAGUGGAUCCAUAAUGGCUUUAUGGACUCCCCGCCUCUGCCAUCAUGAAUAAAUAAUCUACAGGUCUACGUGUCCAUUGGCUGCGUGUGCCUGUCAUCCAGCUCUGAGUUUACUCUGACAAGCCGCAUGAGUCCAAGCUGCUUUAUGGGGACUAAAAGAGGAAGCUGCUGAGUGAGCCCUCAUCUGGGACUCUCCUCAGCUCUUUCUGGGACAGUGGCGCGGCUGCCCCUCUGUUGGUCUUCCUUGGUCUCUUGUGUUCUGGGGGCCUCUGGAUGUCUGGAGUUUUGAUCAGCUCCAUACCUGCUUCAUGCCCUGGAGGACGGGGCUGUGGCCCCCCCACACCCUCUAGCAGAUCAUUACAUGAAGGAACCUUUUAAAAAACAAAAAACAAGCGCGUCCAUGCUCACAGGUGUACACACGGUUGAUCACACCCACAAACUACACCCUUUUUGGCUCCUACCUCAAAGCACACUGUGUUCUGUUGAUCUUAUGUGCUGCACAAUAAUGUUUAAUAUUUAGUAUUUACUAUCAUAUUCCCAUAUAUCAUUGUGAUGUUGUUUAUUCUAUUACUCUUGUUCUCUUCUGCUUGUUUUCUUUUUUCUUUCUCAGCAGGUGACCCAGGUGAUUGAUAUAUGCAUUUUUUUUCUUUUUUUCUUCUUUUUUUUCUUUUUCUGCUCAUUCUGUUGGUUUUUGGUUUUUGCCCUUCUCCCCCGUCCCUCUUCUCAGCUGUUUCUCUUUCCCUCUUUCUUUCUCCCCUUCUUUCCCCCAGUCAAGUCUGUCCCAUGUUCAGUAAGUGAAAAUAAAAUAAACAAUAAAAGGUGAAUCAAAUGGACCAUUACGGCAAGGCUGGGAUGGUCAAUUUGGUAAAGUAAAUCCGUUGGGCAUCUUUCUUUGCCUUUAGACAAGAAUUCUGAUGGCAAAAGAGCCAAACGGGACAGGCAAAAAAAUAAAAAAAAUAAAAAAAAAUAAAUAAAAAUAAAAAAAAUAAAUUUGGACUUAAUAUGUAAAUCGUUUUGACUUCAAUUUGUUAUGUUUUCACUUGGGGUCUUAAUUGUGUGAUUUAUUUUUAUGUUUUAUAUAUUUUCUUUAAAGAAAUAUGAUGAAUUUUAAUCUUAAUUCCUUGCUUUUU
ensembl:lncRNA